rnacentral:rRNA from 1 species
UACAGAGGUCUCAAGCGUUGUUCGGAAUCACUGGGCGUAAAGGGUGCGUAGGCGGGCGCGGUAAGUCGGAUGUGAAAUCUCGGAGCUUAACUCCGAAACUGCAUUCGAUACUGCCGUGCUUGAGGACUGGAGAGGAGACUGGAAUUACGGUGUAGCUGGUGAAAUGCGUAGAUAAUCGUAAGGAAGACCAGUGGCGAAGGCGGGUCUCUGGACAGUUCCUGACGCUGAGGCACGAAGGUCAGGGGAGCAAACGGG